GGUUUGAUUAGCUCCAGAUUGAACGCUGGCAGGGGAUGCUUUACACAUGCAAGUCGAACAGCGGCACGGACUUCCCGGUCUGGUGGCGAGUGGCGAACAGGUGAGUAAUGUAUCCGGAACGUGCCUAGUAGCGGGGAUAACUACGCGAAAGCGUAGCUAAUACAUGCGCCCUUCGGGGAAAGCGGGGGACCUUCGGGCCUCGCACUAUUGACGGCCGAUAUCGGAUUAGCUAGUUGGUGGGGUAACGGCUUACCAAAGGCGACGAUCCGCUUCGUUUCGAAGGACGACCAGCCACACUGGGACUGAACCCGGCCCAGACUCCUACGGGAGGCAGCAGUGGGGAAUUUUGGACAAUGGGAAACCCUGAUCCGGCCAUCCCGCGUGUGCGAUGAAGGCCUUCAGGUUGUAAAGCACUUUUGGCAGGAAAGAAACGGCACGGAUGUCACCCCGUGCAACUGACGUACCUGCAGAAUAAGCACCGGCUAACUACGUGCCAGCAGCCACCCGGUAGCUGCGUAAGUGCAAGCGUUAAUCGGAAUUACCUGGGCGUAAAGCGUGCAUGAGCGGUUCCGGAAAGAAAGAUGUGAAAUCCCAGAAACGCUUUGGAACUGCAUUUUUAACUACCGAACUAAGUGUGUGUCAGAGGGGUGGAAUUCCGCGUGUAGCAGUGAAAUGCGUAGAUAUGCGGAGGAACACCGAUGGCAGAAACAGCCUCCCUGGGAUAACACUGACGCUCAUGCACGAAAAGCGUGGGAGCAAACGGGAUUAGAUACCCUGGUAGUCCGCCUAAACGUGUCAACUAGCUGUUGGGGCCUUCGGGCCUUGUAGCGCAACUAACGCGUGAAGUUGACCGCCUGGGGAAUACGGUCGCAAGAUUAAACUCAAAGGAAUUGACGGGGACCCGCACAAGCGGUGGAUGAUGUGGAUUAAUUCGAUGCAACGCGAAAAACCUUACCUACCCUUGGCAGCUGUCUGGAAUCGAAGAGAUUUGGGGGUGCUCGCAAGAGAACCGGAACACAGGUGCUGCAUGGCUGUCGUCAGCUCGUGUGCCGUGAGAUGUUGGGUUAAGUCCCGCAACGAGCGCAACCCUUGUCAUUAGUUGCUACGAAAGGGCACUCUAAUGAGACUGCCGGUGACAAACCGAGGAGGGGAAGGUGGGGAUGACGUCAAGUCCUCAUGGCCCAUAUGGGUAGGGCUUCACACGUCAUACAAUGGUCGGGACGGAGGUCGCCGCCCGCGAGGGGGGAGCCAAUCCCAGAAACCCGAUCGUAGUCGGAUCGCGGUCUGCAACUCGACUGCGUGAAGUCCAGAUCGCUAGUAAUCACCCGGAUCAGCAUGUCGCGGUGAAUACGUUCCCGGGUCUUGUACACACCGCCCGUCACACCGUAAGUCGGAUUUACCGAAGUAGUUAGCCUAACCGUAAGGAGGGCGAUUACCACGGUAGGAUUCAUGACAGGGUGAAGUCGUAACAAGGUAAC
rnacentral:rRNA from 1 species